rnacentral:snoRNA from 8 species
UGCCUUUGAUGAAUUAAAAAUGUAUAAGAGUAGUGGACAGAAGUGAUUUCUGAGAACAUUUUUAAUCUGAGGCA